UUGACCUCAAAUCGGGUGAGACUACCCGCUGAACUUAAGCAUAUCAUAGCCCGGAGGAA
rnacentral:rRNA from 1 species